rnacentral:rRNA from 1 species
UACGAAGGGGGCGAGCGUUGUUCGGAAUUACUGGGCGUAAAGGGCGCGCAGGCGGCUCAGACAGUCAGAUGUGAAAGCCCCGGGCUUAACCUGGGAACUGCAUUUGAUACUACUGAGCUUGAGUACGGGAGAGGAUAGUGGAAUUCCCAGUGUAGAGGUGAAAUUCGUAGAUAUUGGGAAGAACCCCGGUGGCGAAGGCGGCUAUCUGGACCGUAACUGACGCUGAGGAGCGAAAGCGUGGGGAGCGAACAGG